CUGUUCUGUAAGUGUGUGCCGGAGUGAAAAGAUCCAGGAAUCAAACAGGGUAUUCCCUCAGGAUACUCUAGAUGAGAUGGCCUGACUGUCACCUUGGAAGAGCACUCCUCUAUUCUCUGAUUUCAGGGGACUUCCUGGACUCCUACAGUUAAUGAAAAACUCCUCAGUAUACAUGAUAAUAGAGAAGACAUGGUACUGACCUAACAUGUGUAAGGUGUCUGAUAAUCCCCCAUUGACUUCAAUAGGCACAGGAUCAACUCCUAAAUACUUCAUGGUGAUUUUUUUAAAGUUUAAUUUGCAUUUUAUUCACAGCUAAAACUAAGAAAUCCAUCUAAGCUUUAUAUGCCAACAAAACCUCAUUGUGAGAGCACAACUGAUUAGGCCGAAAUCUUCUGCAGAAUGAAGCAAAAGUAAUAUAUGAAAGACAUGUGUUACUAUUUUUAAAGGUAAAGUCAGAGAAAAUGUAUCCUAACAGGUGACUAACAUCUAUACAGCCUGGAGACUUGCCAUUCAAACCACCUCUUCUUGUCACUAAUAUUCCAGCUAUUUUUUUUUCUAAUUUAGUCAGAACUAAAAAGAAAAAAGAGACUUUCCUUUUCUGUUAACUGCAGUUCAUGGAGAGAAUGUAAAGCAGUUAAUUUAGCCCAUAAUGACGCUUGCAAUUGGUCCAUU